rnacentral:rRNA from 1 species
UACGUAGGAUCCGAGCAUUAUCCGGAGUGACUGGGUGUAAAGAGUUGCGUAGGUGGCAUAAUAAGUAGCUAGUGAAAUCUGGUGGCUCAACCAUUCAGACUAUAGCUAAACUGUUAAGCUCGAGACCGUUAGGGGUAACUGGAAUUUCUAGUGUAGGGUUGAAAUCCGUAGAUAUUAGAAGGAACACCAAUAGCGUAGGCAGGUUACUGGGACGGUUCUGACACUAAGGCAUGAAAGCGUAGGGAGCAAACGGG